rnacentral:piRNA from 1 species
UGUGAAGCUCCUGGGAGCAGGUGGUA